AUAUCAAUAAGCGGAGGAAAAGAAACCAACAGGGAUUGCCCUAGUAACGGCGAGUGAAGCGGCAACAGCUCAAAUUUGAAAUCUGGCUUCGGCCCGAGUUGUAAUUUGCAGAGGAAGCUUUAGGCGCGGCACCUUCUGAGUCCCCUGGAACGGGGCGCCAUAGAGGGUGAGAGCCCCGUAUAGUUGGAUGCCUAGCCUGUGUAAAGCUCCUUCGACGAGUCGAGUAGUUUGGGAAUGCUGCUCAAAAUGGGAGGUAAAUUUCUUCUAAAGCUAAAUACCGGCCAGAGACCGAUAGCGCACAAGUAGAGUGAUCGAAAGAUGAAAAGCACUUUGAAAAGAGGGUUAAAUAGCACGUGAAAUUGUUGAAAGGGAAGCGCUUGUGACCAGACUUGCGCCGGGCAGAUCAUCCGGUGUUCUCACCGGUGCACUCUGCCCGGCUCAGGCCAGCAUCGGUUCUCGCGGGGGGAUAAAGGCCCUGGGAACGUAGCUCCUCCGGGAGUGUUAUAGCCCGGGGCGUAAUGCCCUCGCGGGGACCGAGGUUCGCGCAUCUGCAAGGAUGCUGGCGUAAUGGUCAUCAGCGACCCGUCUUGAAACACGGACCAAGGAGUCAAGGUUUUGCGCGAGUGUUUGGGUGUAAAACCCGCACGCGUAAUGAAAGUGAACGUAGGUGAGAGCUUCGGCGCAUCAUCGACCGAUCCUGAUGUUUUCGGAUGGAUUUGAGUAGGAGCGUUAAGCCUUGGACCCGAAAGAUGGUGAACUAUGCUUGGAUAGGGUGAAGCCAGAGGAAACUCUGGUGGAGGCUCGCAGCGGUUCUGACGUGCAAAUCGAUCGUCAAAUCUGAGCAUGGGGGCGAAAGACUAAUC
rnacentral:rRNA from 1 species